rnacentral:rRNA from 1 species
UUUGGAGGGCAAGUCUGGUGCCAGCAGCCGCGGUAAUUCCAGCUCCAAUAGCGUAUAUUAAAGUUGUUGCAGUUAAAAAGCUCGUAGUUGAAUUUCGGGAUCAUCAGGUUGGUCGUGCCAUUGGUAUGUACUAGCUUUGGUGGUUCCUACCUCUUGAAGAACCGUAAUGUCAUUAAUUUGGUGUUGCGGGGAAUCAGGACUGUUACUUUGAAAAAAUUAGAGUGUUUAAAGCAGGC